rnacentral:rRNA from 1 species
UAGUAACGGCGAGUGAAGCGGGAAGAGCUCAAGCUUAAAAUCUCCGUGCAAGUUUUGUGCGGCGAAUUGUAGUCUAUAGAAGCGUGGUCAGCAUGGGCACUUGGGGCAAGUUCCUUGGAAGAGGACAGCAUGGAGGGUGAUACUCCCGUUCAUUUCUGAGUUGCUCGUGCGUACGACCCGUUUUCUUUGAGUCGCGUUGUUUGGGAAUGCAGCGCAAAGUAGGUGGUAAAUUCCAUCUAAAGCUAAAUAUUGGUGCGAGACCGAUAGCGAACAAGUACCGUGAGGGAAAGAUGAAAAGAACUUUGAAAAGAGAGUUAAAGAGUACCUGAAACUGCUGAAAGGGAACCGAAUCGUUUCCAGUGUCUAUAAUCCGUGGUAUAUUUCAUUGGCGAGUGUGUGCGUGCGUGUGCUGUGGCAGCGGCUUUUUUGGCUGCGCUCGGCGUGUGUGCUGUGUGUGCUUGCUGGUGCUCUGUGCUGCGGUGGGACGUCAAGGUCAGUUCGUAUGCUGCGGGAAAUGGCUGCCGAGGAGGUAGGGCUUACGCUUGCGUUUGUCUGUUAUAUCUUGGUGGACGAGUAGUCGCGGUUGGGACUGAGGUGCCUACAACGUGCUUUUGAGUGGGUUUGUGUCUCCGUGUACGCCGUGUGCGGAUAGCUUGCUAUGCGUGUGUGGUUGUGUGUGGAUUGAUGCGAGCUUUAACUUGUUGCCGUUC